rnacentral:miRNA from 1 species
UCCGUUCUGUAGGUGAGGAAGCU